GGAUAAGAGAAGUUUGGGGGAGCCAGACUCAGUGCUGGGGUCUCAGAAGGCAACACUCUUGCCUCAGAAGGGAAUCUCCACCAUGUCCUGGGCUCUGCUACUCUUCACCCUCCUAACUGAGGGCUCAGGUUCUUGGGCCCAGGCUCCCCUGACUCAGCCUCCCUCACUGUCUGGGAACCCAGGACAGAGGGUCACCAUCUCCUGUGCUGGAAGCAGCAGUGAUGUUGGGCAGGGUGAUGAUGUCUCCUGGUACCAACAACAACCAGGAAUGGCCCCCAAACUCCUAAUUUAUGAUGAUGAUAAUCGGCCCUCAGGGAUCCCUGAUCGCUUCUCUGGCAGCAAGUCUGGCAACACGGCCUCCCUGACCAUCUCUGGGCUCCAGCCUGAGGAUGAGGCUGAUUAUUACUGUGCUUCAUAUACAAGCAGUAGCACUAACCACAGUGAUGCAAGUUCAUGGGGAAGUGAGACCAAAACUUCCACUGGGCUCAUUAGCUCCCUCCUUGCUCUGAAGAUGCUUUUACUACCUGUUUCUGUGUCCUAA